GACAGCGUGGCCGAGUGGUCUAAGGCGUAUGACUCGAAUCCCCGAAAUCAUAUAUCUUCGGAUGCGUGUGUUCAAAUCACACCGCUGUCG
rnacentral:tRNA from 1 species